GUACGACCAACGAGUGCUACCCCAUUGUCGGAUAUUAACAGCACGUCAUUCCAGCAGAAUAAACGUGAUAAUAGAUGGUCAUAUAAUAAGAAGUCUUGGGGACGAAAGAAUAAACGAGGCCAUCAUAACAACAAAUUCCAGAACCGCGACAAUUCAGGCCACCAGAAGUGGCAAGUGUUUGAGUCGGGUAAAAAUAAAGAAAAUGCAACACAGAUAAAGAACAAACCAGAUGUUUGUUUUAGGUGUGGGAUGAAUGGGCAUUGGUCACGUACCUAUCAUACGCCGAGGCAUCUGGUUAAUUUAUUUCUGGAGUCUCAAAAGAACAAAGUGAUGGAGGA
rnacentral:lncRNA from 1 species